rnacentral:lncRNA from 1 species
UUUUUUCCUUUACAUUCCACAGCCAAGCCCUGCCAUGUUUUCGGGCAGAGUUGGGCCGCGCCGCCCGGCCUCUCCCCAUGCGCGUGUGUGCGAGGCCUAAAACAAAGCGACCGUGUCAAAGUGCUCCUGACCUGCAGAAAUUUGGACUCUUUCUACAACUGGAUCGUGUGCGUGCACACACACCAAGAAGGUAUUUGUUUCCUUCGCUGCACUUCUCGGCACUGCAGAUAAAUCUGUUGCAUCUCAUUUGGUUACUGAUUCAUUCACACACACACACACACACACCCCAGCAGCCAUGGCCGAGAAUCUUCUCCACUUCUCUUUCUUUCCAGAGUCAGAACUAUUGUCCGACCUUUUUCAUGCAGAGGAAAGCUCGGUGA